GCCGGUGUGGUGUAGUGGUUUGAGCAUUGGACUAUGACUCCGGAGAGCGGGGUUCAAAUUCCCACUUGGCA